UAAUCUAAAUCAAAGUCUUGGUCUCCUAAAGGAGUUUUGUGUGUGUGUAGGUAUAUUUGACUGAUUACCCUUCACACACACACAUACCUCCUUUAGGAGACCAAGACUUUGAUUU
rnacentral:miRNA from 1 species